GCGUGCGUGUGUGCGUGUGUUUUCAGAGCGUAAAAUUUUUCUACGAGUUGGACUGCGGGCCAACUAACUGUCCGGAUGGGGCUGAGGAUGCCGCCCCGGUGGGUGGCGAGGUUCAGCGCAAUCGCCGACUGGUAGCUAGAGUCCAACGCUGGAUGCGCGGGUGACGGGGCUGUCUUCACGUGCGCACCUUCAGUGUUGUUCAGCUCGAACUCAGUCCCCAGCCUAGCGAGGCGCGUUGGGCAAGGCACCGUCCAUCCGACAGAUGGCAUGCAGUUAAGUGGCUAUUGGCUCUUACCCUUGAUUGAAUAAAUCCACAUCAUAGUGAGUUUUCUACCACGCCUCCAGACCUGCGGCUCCACCACUGACUGCUGGGCAACACUGAAUGAGGAAACUGAGGCGGAGUUUAACAGAUGAAGUCAUUUGUCCAAAGUAACCAAGCCAGCAAGGGCAGAGUCAGAUUUGUACCCACGCCAGAGAGGAACAGGAAAAGACGUGGGAUCCGACUCUAAACUCUGGAACGCACCUCAGUGUCAGGUGUUCUCUGGAUCAAAAGGCAGAUGAACAUGUGCAGCAGUAUUCAUCAGAUUAUAUCAAACGUGUGUACGGAUGGAACAUGAGGUGUCCUAAGUGCAAGAAAUACUGUGGAGGUGACGAGUCAGCAUACACGCAUCACAGAGAACGGUUUCUGGUCCAUCGCAAAGUCUGUACAUGUGUUUGCUACUCUCGAUGUCAGUACCAACAAUCUCAUCAUCAUUAUCAUUAUGGAAUGUAAUCGAUGGUAUAAAUUAAGCACACAGAGCAGCAGAUACACUAUUAUAAAGGGAUUACCUCCUCCCUCCCAUCUCAUAAUUUUAGAAAUGCACAGAAAAGAUGCCCAGAAGGCAGGCAGCACAUAUUAGGUCAUUUUCUCUAAGUGGGGACCUCUAGGUGAUUUUUAAAUAACACUUUAGGCACUGUUUUAUGUGCUGUAUCUUCAUUAUUACACAGUCGAGUGCUUCUAUUAUAAUUUUUAAAAAGGUUUUUGGGACGUUUCAUUGUCGUGGCAUCUUGAUGCCUCGGGGUAAAAAAUUGUUUUGAUAUCCUUGCCAGGUGAAAAUCUAAUCAGUGCAUGUAAAGCAGAAGACAGAUCUGCGGUACAGUAGAGAAGAGCUGUGGGGGAAGCAGAGAGGUCGGGAUGGAAGGUUAGCUGUGUCUGCAAGUGUUGUGAAAAUGCCACAGAUGGAUGACACAGGCCCAAACCAAACCAAACAGCAACUUGCAGAUCCCUAAUAGAGACCUCGUUCUAUGGAGAGGAGUAUCUAUAUUAAGACUUGUUAGGCCUUCCCUAUCUUUCGGCUCCCGUAGUGCAGUGGGGCAGCAUGUGGAUGUUGUAAGAGGCAGUAACGCUUUGUGCUACGCUGCAGACACAGGAAAAGGUGGCAGCAUUAGACAGAUGUGUGGGAAGUAAGAGGAACGGAACUCAGCAAGGAUUUAGACUUAAGGGGAAGGCGAGGAAGAUGUAAAUGGUUAAGACCGUUUCUGCAUUUGGUAAUGAGCACGCUGGUGCCUUCUGUUGGCAUGCGGAAUACCAGAAGAGGGCCAGGUCUGUGACCGGUUCUGAAAUAAGACCUUUAUUUUUAUGAGCUCAUGGUCAAAAUGGAAUACAAACAUCAAAACUUAAAUACUUACCUUAUCAGAUACUUUUCCUUUAAAGAAAAAAAAAGUCAGAGGUACUGAGAUCGAAUUUACAUUUCAAGUAUACAGUUUGCAGAGUUUUGACAACUGUACACAAUCCUUUAACUGCCACCACGAUAAAAAUAUGGAAAAUUUCCAUCAAUUGAUCAUGUUCCCUUGUGCCAUUUGCCAUCGGGAUCCUUCUUCCACUCCCAUACCCUGGGAACCACAGAUGUACUUCUGUGCCUAUAGUUGUGUUUUUUCCAGAAUACUCUUUACAUAAAAUCAUAUAAUGUGUAGCCUUUUGGGUCCAGCUUCUUUAAUUUAGCACACUUGAGAUGCAUUCAUGCUGUUAUGUGCAUCGGUUGUUUGUUUUUAGUACUGUGCAGUACUCCUUUGUGUGGGUGUACCUGUUUAUUUUCCUUUCAUCCAAAUUCCAGGGGUUGAUCACUUGGGGAUGUUUCUAGGUUUGGCUAUUAUGAAUAAAAGUGGUAUGUUGGAGUACAA